UUACGGCUAUACCACGUUGGAACACCGAUUCCUGUACGAUCGUCAAAGUUAAGCAACAUCGAGCCUGGUCAUUACCUAGAUGUGUGACCGCUUGAGAAUACCAAGUGCUGCAAG